AGGCGGGCGGGUGCUAUACAUGCAGUCGACGAACUUCCGUUAAUUGAUUAUGACGUACUUGUACUGAUUGAGAUUUUAACACGAAGUGAGUGGCGAACGGGUGAGUAACACGUGGGUAACCUGCCCAGAAGUAGGGGAUAACACCUGGAAACAGAUGCUAAUACCGUAUAACAGAGAAAACCGCAUGGUUUUCUUUUAAAAGAUGGCUCUGCUAUCACUUCUGGAUGGACCCGCGGCGUAUUAGCUAGUUGGUGAGGUAAAGGCUCACCAAGGCAGUGAUACGUAGCCGACCUGAGAGGGUAAUCGGCCACAUUGGGACUGAGACACGGCCCAGACUCCUACGGGAGGCAGCAGUAGGGAAUCUUCCACAAUGGACGCAAGUCUGAUGGAGCAACGCCGCGUGAGUGAAGAAGGGUUUCGGCUCGUAAAGCUCUGUUGUUAAAGAAGAACGUGGGUAAGAGUAACUGUUUACCCAGUGACGGUAUUUAACCAGAAAGCCACGGCUAACUACGUGCCAGCAGCCGCGGUAAUACGUAGGUGGCAAGCGUUAUCCGGAUUUAUUGGGCGUAAAGCGAGCGCAGGCGGUCUUUUAAGUCUAAUGUGAAAGCCUUCGGCUCAACCGAAGAAGUGCAUUGGAAACUGGGAGACUUGAGUGCAGAAGAGGACAGUGGAACUCCAUGUGUAGCGGUGAAAUGCGUAGAUAUAUGGAAGAACACCAGUGGCGAAGGCGGCUGUCUGGUCUGCAACUGACGCUGAGGCUCGAAAGCAUGGGUAGCGAACAGGAUUAGAUACCCUGGUAGUCCAUGCCGUAAACGAUGAUUACUAAGUGUUGGAGGGUUUCCGCCCUUCAGUGCUGCAGCUAACGCAUUAAGUAAUCCGCCUGGGGAGUACGACCGCAAGGUUGAACUCAAAAGAAUUGACGGGGGCCCGCACAAGCGGUGGAGCAUGUGGUUUAAUUCGAAGCUACGCGAAGAACCUUACCAGUCUUGACAUCUUCUGACAGUCUAGAGAUUAGAGGUUCCUUUCGGGACAGAAUGACAGUGUGCAUGAUUGUCGUCAGCUCGUGUCGUGAGAUGGUGAUAGGUCCCGCACGAGCGCACCCUUAUUACUAGUGGCAGCAUAGUGGUCACUCUAGUGAACUGCGGACACAGAGCAGUGGACGACGUCAAUUCAUCAGUG
rnacentral:rRNA from 1 species